rnacentral:lncRNA from 1 species
AGUGGGAAAGGGGACCUGUUUGACCUUAAGCCUUCUUUCCCUCCUACAGCCUGGGCUGCAGAUGAGGUGGCUGAAGCUUGACAGCUAUCUUAGAUCACAAGAUUCUUCAGCACCUGCUCUGAUGGGUUCUUUGAAAAAUUCAUCUCUUGAAUAAUGAAACAACGGCCUGAGGGAGGAACGUGGAAAUAGACGGUUUACAGCCAAAGCCCAGAAGGAAGCUGUGGACUUCUUGAAUCUCCCGAGGACCCGUGGGUCUUCACUCUGAAAGGAAGGAUUGUCCACCCGGCUCAGCAUCUCAUCUCUACAACCGGAGGUUGAAGUCCCUAAUGCUGACCUUUAAAUAGCGGAUGUGUGGAUCGUUCCAACAUGGCUGGACUCUGAAAGAUGGCUUUCAUCCUGUCCAGGAUACGAGAUUGCACCCACGCUUUAUCCAGCAUGAAGGAGCAGAGCACUUCCUGGGAGAAGACAGACCUUGGCUUUGUGAGCGGGACACGUGGAAACGGGAGCUUUGUCGGGUGGGUCUGAGGGACAUGGCAGGCCAGCCACCUGAACAGUGAACUUGAGUGAUUGCAUAUACUAAUGAUGGUUACAACAGUGCUCUGUAGCUACUUCCUGUUUUGUUACCACCAUGCAAGAGGCUCAGCCUCUCUGGGUUCUGGGCAGCUUGUGGCUUCCACAGUGAGCAUUCCAAGAAGGAAACUAGCUUCUGGAGUUGAGCCCUGACUUCUCUUUGUCCCUGCAGGUGAGGUGACUCAAAGUCUCCUUUCAACACCUAUUCUUCAUUCUCUUGCUGGGGGCCUGGAGGUUUAUUGGCCUGUCCCACCAAGACACCCGGGAUGGUCACAUAGAAUAGUUACACAUUCCCCCGACAGGUCUUCUAGCUCUGUCAUUCUCGUUCAAGCCCUGCGUUCUCUACAUUUGAUCCAGGAAGGCAUUGCCUGUCUAUAGGCAUCAGAUGCUGUAGUGGGCUGACCCUUUCUCAGCUGGUUGGGUCAUUUGUGACUGGGCCACUGUUUCUAGUCAUUGGUAGUUUUUCAUCUCAAUCCCCUUCAACCUCUUCUCUGUCUUGAGACUGAUCCCAUGGUCUUGGAAAUCUCCGAGCCAAUGGUGGGUCAGCAUUCCAGCCCCCCCCAUCUCCGCCCCCUGUCCCCUAAGAAUUCCAUGGACUGACCAUGUAUGGGUUUAUCAGAGGGCCCAGCAGAAUUCAGCCUGGGUCCCCAGUCCACAGCACAUGUAUUUUUAGAUUCCUUCCUUGCUUGCUCUAUUCCCCCACUCCCUCUCUUGGGCUUCCAGGAGGUGCCUCCAGAAUGAGCCACUUGCACCAGUGACCUUAUAUUGAGAUCUGUUCUGUCUAUUAGUAGGGGCUCUCUAGAGGAACAGAAGUAAUAGGCUGAAUAUAUAUCAAGAGGGGGUUUAUUAGAUUGGCUUCCAUGAUAUAGUAUAGUCCAACAAUGGCUGUCAUCAUAUCAGAGGCUGAGAACCAGUGGUUGUUCUGUCCUCGAGGCUGGAUGCCCCAGCAGUUCUUAUCUGGUAUUGGAGGCCUGGUGAGUUCCUCGAGAGCCCCUGGUCUUCCAUAGUGGAAGGCUGAGGAAGUGGAGUUCCCGAGUCAGCUGAGGAUGGUGGUGGUGGUGGCGGCGGCGGCAGCGGCAGUAGCAGCAGCAGGGUAGACGCAUCCACAGUGAGGUCUGUCUUUCCACUGUGGGUCCCAGGGAUCAGAUGUCAGUCAUCAGUCUUUAUAGUAGGUGCUUUUACACUCUGACCCAUCUCACUGACCCCAACGUUAAUUCUUUAUGAAAAAGAAACAAUAUAAAAUGUACUCGAGUCUCCAAACAGACUCGACGUAUGCAUGUCAAAGAAUUCUUUUAAAUAAAUGUAUUGGUGAUUUUUACCAGUAAAUUUUUAUUUGAAUAUUUUAUAUAUUACCUAUGCAAAAAUAAAUUUCUUGUG